UCUGUCCACGGUACCGGACUGAGGAGGGACGACGAGGGAGGAUAAGGAGUGGACAGCGCUCCGUUUC
rfam:Marininema halotolerans strain DSM 45789 genome assembly, contig: Ga0104500_120